rnacentral:rRNA from 1 species
UAAAAUUAAUUUUUAUAUUAAAAUGUCUCGAAAUUUAGAGAGCUAAGAAUUUAUAUAUUUUAAUGUUAAAUAAUUAUUUAUAAUAUUUUUUUUGUAGUGAAAUGUUAGUCGGUCUAAAUUAUAUCUAGUUUUUUUAGAAAUGAAUUUAAUUCAGCUUAAUAAAGGAAUUAUUUUUUUGUUAAAUAGAUUUUUUUUUUGAAGUUAUAAUUGAGGGGAUAAGCUUUUGAUUAGAGUUUUAUAAUUGUGGGUAAGUGUUUAUAUGUAGGAUUAGAGGUGUUCAUCAAUUGGAGUGUGUUAUAACAAAUAAAUUUAUUUUAUGAUUUUUUUUUAUUUAAGUUAUAUAUAAAAAUAUAAAAUUGAAUUGGUUUAUUUUAGUAUUUAUGAUGGAAUUAGUAUAUUUUAGUGUUGAAGUUAUUUAAUUUUAAAAGGUUAAUUUAAGGAACUCGGCAAAUAAAUUUCUUGCCUGUUUAAUAAAAACAUGUCCUUUUGGUAUAAUUUAAGGUCUAACCUGCCCAAUGAAGUUUAAAUGGCCGCGGUAUUUUGACCGUGCAAAGGUAGCAUAAUCAUUAGUUUUUUAAUUGAAAGCUGGAAUGAAAGGUUGGACAAGGAAAUUACUGUCUCUGGUUAAUUUAUAUUAGAAUUUUAUCUUUAAGUAAAAAAGCUUAAAUGAUUUUAAGGGACGAGAAGACCCUAUAGAAUUUGAUAGUUAAAGUAAAUUUGGAUGUAUGGAUUUGUUUAUUAAUUUUAUUUUAAUUAUUUUGUUGGGGUGAUAGAAAAAUUUAAAUAACUUUUUUUUUGUUUUUUCACUAAUUAGUGAGUUUAUGAUCCAUAUUUAAUGAUUAUAAGAUUAAAUUACCUUAGGGAUAACAGCGUUAUUAAUUUGGAGAGUUCUAAUCGAUAAAUUAGUUUGCGACCUCGAUGUUGGAUUAAAAUUUACUUUUGGUGAAGAAGCUGAAUGGUUAAGUCUGUUCGACUUUUAAAAUUUU